rnacentral:rRNA from 1 species
UACAGAGGAUGCAAGCGUUAUCCGGAAUUACUGGGCGUAAAGUGCACGUAGGCGGCUUUGUAAGUAAGAGGUGAAAGCCCAGAGCUCAACUCUGGAAUUGCCCUUUAGACUGCAUCGCUUGAAUCAUGGAGAGGUCAGUGGAAUUCCGAGUGUAGAGGUGAAAUUCGUAGAUAUUCGGAAGAACACCAGUGGCGAAGGCGGCUGACUGGACAUGUAUUGACGCUGAGGUGCGAAAGCGUGGGGAGCAAACAGG